rnacentral:rRNA from 1 species
GGGGUAAACCUGCGAAACUCGAAUGAACGAACGGAGAGAUUCAUCGUCAUGCACGGCGUACGGGUGCGCGUUUCGAUGUCGUCGGCUUCACGCCGGCCGGCACGUCGCGCACCCGCCUACGUCCGCGGACGUCGUGCACUUCUCUCUCAGUAAACAUGCAUCGCGACCCGUUCGAUGUCGGUCUAAGCGCCGUCCGGGAGCCCCGUCACGCCCUUCGCGGGGCGAGACGGGACCGUUAGUCGGACGCCGACCGGCCGUCGGACGGUAUAAAGUUACGAAACGUGCACGCGUUCUAAACGCGUCCGGCCCGACGCAAGUCAACGUCGUAUCCGUCGUUCACCGCCCGAGUGCGGACGCCGGUGCGGCGCGUCUGUUGUCGCCGCCGUGUCUUGUCUCGGACAGUGCGCGUCUCCGUCUGCGAUGAUUCAGUUUCGGGCACUCGCAGGACCCGUCUUGAAACACGGACCAAGGAGUCUAGCAUGUAUGCGAGUCAUUGAGAUUUUACGACUAAACUGAAAGGCGUAACGAAAGUGAAGGCGCGCGCUAGCCGCGCGCUCAGGGAGGAUGGAGCGUCGAUCUAGGUCGAUCUCUCGCACUCCCGAGGCGUCUCGUUUCCAAUCCGUGAAUGCAGGCGCGCUC